AUUGAACGCUGGCGGCAUGCUUUACACAUGCAAGUCGAACGGUAACAGGCCUUCGGGUGCUGACGAGUGGCGAACGGGUGAGUAAUGCAUCGGAACGUGCCCAGAGGUGGGGGAUAACGCAGCGAAAGCUGUGCUAAUACCGCAUGUGAUCUGAGGAUGAAAGCGGGGGACCAGGCAGCAAUGUUUGGCCUCGCGCCUUUGGAGCGGCCGAUGUCAGAUUAGGUAGUUGGUGGGGUAAAGGCCUACCAAGCCGACGAUCUGUAGCUGGUCUGAGAGGACGACCAGCCACACUGGGACUGAGACACGGCCCAGACUCCUACGGGAGGCAGCAGUGGGGAAUUUUGGACAAUGGGCGCAAGCCUGAUCCAGCAAUGCCGCGUGCGGGAAGAAGACCUUCGGGUUGUAAACCGCUUUUGUACGGAACGAAAAGGCUCUGGCUAAUACCUGGGGCUGAUGACGGUACCGUAAGAAUAAGCACCGGCUAACUACGUG
rnacentral:rRNA from 1 species